UACAGAGGGUGCGAGCGUUGUUCGGAAUUAUUGGGCGUAAAGGGCGCGUAGGCGGUGCGGUAAGUCACCUGUGAAAUCUCCUGGCUCAACUGGGAGCUUGCAGGCGAAACUGCCGUGCUGGAGUGUGGGAGAGGUGCGUGGAAUUCCCGGUGUAGCGGUGAAAUGCGUAGAUAUCGGGAGGAACGCCAGUGGUGAAAACGGGUCGCUGGGGACAUGCUGACGCUGAGACACGAAAGCCAGGGGAGCAAACGGG
rnacentral:rRNA from 1 species